AAGCGCCUAGAGGGCAUAAGGCAGGGGAGGGGGGCAUACAUAAGGGGAAGCAGGGGAAAGAAGGGGAAAGCGAGAGUGAAGGCUGUCGGCUGGCACCAGGCGCCCCUCGCUUCCGUAGCUCACUUAGGUCGCUGGCGGGAGGCGAGGGCAGCGGCGUGAAGGGUCAGGGAGGGGCGGCGACUGAAACGGUGGCGUCGGUUCGUCCGUCGAUAACGUGUUCGAGUUCUAACUUAGUCUAGCCUGGAUCCGGUACCGGAGCUCGUCCACACCGCGGUGGGGGCAGCGUCUACGGCCGGGAGAGGUUAGAGUUCUGGUGGAGGGGGAGGACCAAAACGAGGAGGACGAACGACUGUAACUGGGAAGGGACAAGCUAGGUCAAACAAAGAAGGAAGAAGAUUAAACAACAGACGACUAACCUAAACAAGAGUCUGGUUUAACUCCGCCGCGACACACAGGUAGUGGCUGCUCCAUUGCCAGCGCCGCCGGCGGCUGCGGAUCUGGCACCGCUGGCACCGCCGACAGCGGCCGACGCUGAACCGAAAGACCGUCGCGGAAACGCGCACAAGGGACGAUCAUAUCGUCGUCAUCUUCGAUUCGUCGUUGUCUCCGCCUGCGCCUGCGACACGAUGACUAGUGAUUUAACUCCGCCAGCUGAUAAGAUGUCGACCUUCUGCUGUCUAGAGUGUCCGGAACUCGACUGGCAUCAAAACACUCUGCAUGAUUACUUUGACAAAC
rnacentral:rRNA from 1 species